GCUGCUUCAGACUGUGUCUAUUCUAGGAAGGCUGACACAUGAUGAGAAGAUUCAGUGGUUCUGAGGUACAGUACUUAAGAUAACCCUGUGAAGGCUGAGAUUGGUAUUUGAAAUUCACAACUGAUCUUGGAGCCUGGUGCAGCAGUCAUGGAUAUGUUCAUGUGUGGAUGCGAUGGAACUGAGGUCACUAGGUUCAUGCUACCUGGAGCAUGAGGCUGACAAAUAGAGAAGCACUGAGUCAAAUGAAUCUUGGAAAAAUGGAGCUAGAAGAAAACCAGAUCCAUUAGACUUCAUUGUCAAUACAUGUGCUGGAACUUGUAACUUGGAUUACAGUAUUAUGAAAUAAUUGGUGAAAU
rnacentral:lncRNA from 1 species